rnacentral:rRNA from 1 species
GGAGGGCGCAAGCGUUGUUCGGAACCAUUGGGCGUAAAGCGCGUGUAGGUGGCUUGGCAAGUUGGAUGUGAAAGCCCGGGGCCCAACCCCGGAAUUGCAUUCAAAACUGCCUCGCUAGAGUCUCGGAGAGGAAGGCGGAAUUCCCGGUGUAGAGGUGAAAUUCGUAGAUAUCGGGAGGAACACCAGUGGCGAAGGCGGCCUUCUGGACGAUGACUGACACUGAGACGCGAAAGCGUGGGGAGCAAACAGGAUUAGAUACCCUGGUAGUCCACGCCGUAAACGUUGUGUGCUAGGUGUCGCGGGUAUUGACCCCCCUGCGGUGCCGUCGUUAACGCAUUUAGCACACCGCCUGGGGAGUACGGUCGCAAGGCUA